CGCCGGAUCCCCACCCAAUCACACACCGCCGGAGCCCUACACCUCCACGCGCCGCCAGAGCCCCGCCCGUCCCGCCGCUGCCGCCCAUCCCAUGUACCAACGGAUCCGGUGGCAGCCCCACCACCAGCCACACAACCUCCACCGGAACAGUGGGGCAGUACCACGACCGUGGUCCUAGACAUUCACCGGGAUCCCGAGGCUAGUGCGGCCAUGGCCUGGAGCUCACCUCUUCUCUCGCACGGGGACGUUGGCUACCGCUGAGCGCAGCUACCAACGGAUCCCGCCGGAUCCCAACCGCCAGCCACGCCACCUCCUGUUGCAGUCCUCCCUCCCUGUUGCAGUCCAAGCGUCCCGGGCUUGCAGUGCGCCGGGGCACACGAUGUGGUGUGGCGCGCGUGGCUGUGCAGUUGCAUCACCCCCGCCCCCUAACAACCAUGAACAGCAACGAGGCUAGCAGUGGACACAGCCGAGCAUCCCUCUCCUCUGCUCCCUUCCACAACCUACAUCCAUGAAGGUGCCUGUGAGUCUGUGAUGAUGAGUUCAUUCUCUGGUGGCAAGUUCUGCGGUUGAGGGUGUGCAUCUCAUCCCUGGGGUUGUUGCAGUCCGGCGAGUGAGGCGUUGUGGUCCAGCAGGUGAGGUGCACGAGGAUAGUGACGAUGGCUGAACCUCCCCAAGAAAAGAACAUGGUUGAGGACCGACUCGCUAUCGAGGAGGCAGCUGAUACUGAAGAUGCUACCUCCAUAACAGUGUUAUCCCCUCUAAUUCUACGGACGAGCUGAACAGAACUGCGGUCAUCCCAAGCCCGCUGCCGAGGAGGCCGAUGAGUGCGCCCACAGCGUCACCGCCUACCUCAACCUCGUGUCAGGCGACUGCUAUGGGGACAACACCGUCGCCUCCUCCAUCGUGCAGGGAGAAAACUAAUGAUUUUCUCAGGAAGGAAUCACAAGAUUUGUGGUGGGCCUUAGACAUCCCUUGAAGAACUUUAGAGGGAAAGAAGUUCAAUCAUUGUGAAGUGAAGGCAUUCUGGUUGAUGUUGUGGCGAAGAUCUCUAGUGCAAAAUUUUCAAGGCGAGAAGAGGAUGAGGAUCUCCAUCCCUGCCCCCAUGCAGUUCACUCAACGCACCCGUGUGGUGCGAAGUGCAUCUACAUGCAAUCCACUAGCCGGUGGUGUGGAGCAUAUGUGUGCAGUAAGGUUCGGACGUUGGUGUAGUUCACUGCUGGGUGGUGCUUCAGUGUAGUUUGCCUGCGCUUGUAGUGCAUGCGAGGAGGACGAUAGUCCAUGGCGUGGACAUGUAGUUCACUUGUGGUUCCAUGCGCUUGGAUGCGCGACUAUUGUUGCUC